rnacentral:rRNA from 1 species
UACGAAGGGGGCUAGCGUUGUUCGGAUUUACUGGGCGUAAAGCGCACGUAGGCGGACCUGCAAGUCGGGGGUGAAAUCCUGGGGCUCAACCUCAGAAUUGCCUCCGAUACUGGCAGUCUCGAGUGCGGGAGAGGUGAGUGGAAUUCCCAGUGUAGAGGUGAAAUUCGUAGAUAUUGGGAAGAACACCAGUGGCGGAGGCGGCUCACUGGCCCGUAACUGACGCUGAGGUGCGAAAGCGUGGGGAGCAAACAGG